rnacentral:rRNA from 1 species
UCCAAUGCCCUGAUGGGGAGCUUCCCGGAAACGAAAGUCUUCCGGUUCCGGGGGAAGUAUGGUUGCAAAGCUGAAACUUAAAGGAAUUGACGGAAGGGCACCACCAGGAGUGGAGCCUGCGGCUUAAUUUGACUCAACACGGGAAAACUCACCCGGCCCGGACACCGUAAGGAUUGACAGAUUGAUAGCUUUUUCAUGAUUCGGUGGUUGGUGGUGCAUGGCCGUUCUUAGUUCGUGGAUCGAUUUGUCUGGUUUAUUCCGAUAACGAGCGAGACUCCAGCCUACUAACUAGUGUGGGCAUUGCCACUGUGCUCUUACACUUCUUAGAGGGAUUGGCUGCGUCUAGCGGCACGAAACGGAGCAAUAACAGGUCUGUGAUGCCCUUAGAUGUCCGGGGCUGCACGCGCGCUACACUGGCAAAGGCAGCGUGCUUGUCCGUCUCCGAAAGGAGUCGGUAAACCCUUGAAAAUUUGCCGUGAUUGGGAUCGGAAAUUGCAAUUAUUUUCCGUGAACGAGGAAUUCCUAGUAAGUGCGAGUCAUCAGCUCGCGUUGAUUACGUCCCUGCCCUUUGUACACACCGCCCGUCGCUGCCUAGAACUGAGCCAUUUCGAGAAUAUUCGGGAUCGCUGGUUGCGU